AGUGAACGCUGGCGGUAGGCCUAACACAUGCAAGUCGAACGGCAGCACAGUAAGAGCUUGCUCUUACGGGUGGCGAGUGGCGGACGGGUGAGGAAUACAUCGGAAUCUACUUUUUCGUGGGGGAUAACGUAGGGAAACUUACGCUAAUACCGCAUACGACCUACGGGUGAAAGCAGGGGAUCUUCGGACCUUGCGCGAUUGAAUGAGCCGAUGUCGGGUUAGCUAGUUGGCGGGGUAAAGGCCCACCAAGGCGACGAUCCGUAGCUGGUCUGAGAGGAUGAUCAGCCACACUGGAACUGAGACACGGUCCAGACUCCUACGGGAGGCAGCAGUGGGGAAUAUUGGACAAAGGGCGCAAGCCUGAUCCAGCCAUACCGCGUGGGUGAAGAAGGCCUUCGGGUUGUAAAGCCCUUUUGUUGGGAAAGAAAAGCAGCAGGUUAAUACCCCGCUGUUCUGACGGUACCCAAAGAAUAAGCACCGGCUAACUUCGUG
rnacentral:rRNA from 1 species